rnacentral:rRNA from 1 species
GACGAACGUUGGCGGCGUGCUUAAUACAUGCAAGUCAACUGAAGCAGAGGUAGUAAUAUCUCUGUGGAGGUGGCGCACGGGUGAGUAACACGUAGGUAAUCUGCCUUCAGGUCUGACAUAACCCCGAGAAAUCGGGGCUAAUAGCAGAUGAUGCAGCGGCUUGACAUCAAGACAGUUAGUUAAAGCUUCGGCGCCUGAAGAUGAGCCUGCGCUGAUUAGCUAGUUGGCGGAGUAACAGCCCACCAAGGCUACGAUCAGUAGCUGGUCUGA